GUCCAAAGAUGGGAAUCGAACCCACAGUGUUCCGCUUACCGGGCAGAUGCCAUGUCCACUAACUAAGCUACUCUGGA